UACGUAGGGGGCUAGCGUUGUCCGGAAUCAUUGGGCGUAAAGAGCGUGUAGGCGGCCCGGUAAGUCCGCUGUGAAAGUCGGGGGCUCAACCCUCGAAUGCCGGUGGAUACUGUCGGGCUAGAGUGCGGAAGAGGCGAGUGGAAUUCCGUGGUGUAGCGGUGAAAUGCGCAGAUAUCAGGAGGAACACCGGUGUCGAAGGCGGU
rnacentral:rRNA from 1 species